rnacentral:rRNA from 1 species
GGGUGCGAUCAUACCAGCGUUAAUGCACCAGAUCCCAUCAGAAUUCCGCAGUUAAGCGUGCUUGGGCUAGAGUAGUACUGGGAUGGGUGACCUCCUGGGAAGUCCCAGUGUUGCACCCU